rfam:Lottia gigantea unplaced genomic scaffold LOTGIsca_64, whole genome shotgun sequence.
GUCUACGUCCAUACCAAGUUGAAAGCACCAGUUCUCGUCCGAUCACUGAAGUUAAGCAACGUCGGGCUCGGUUAGUACUUGGAUGGGUGACCGCCUGGGAACACCGAGUGCUGUAGACU